rnacentral:lncRNA from 1 species
UAAAAAAAAUUGUUACCUUUUGGACUCCUUUGGCAAAUUUGGAAAUCACAAAAUUCUUUAUUAUUCCAAGAAAGACGAUUUGGAAUACUGAUACGAUGGACGAUGCUAUUGUUGAUGUACACGAGUGGAUAACGAAUGUCAAUCAGAACCAUGGAUCUUUAUUUUCACACCCUUUACUUUCUGGAGCAACAAAUAUAUUUUUGUCGCAAAGUCCUUCGGUUGGUUCUUUUAAAUGUAAUUUUGAUGUGUUGUUUGAUAUAACAACAAGACAUGUACAAGGAGCUUGGAUUGUUCGGGAUUUCC